GUUUAAAUAGGUUAUAUAAACCGUAGCGUUGUGAUCGCUAAGAAUAAUUUAUGAUUAUUUGGGCU
rnacentral:tRNA from 1 species